rnacentral:rRNA from 1 species
CCUACGGGUGGCAGCAGUGGGGAAUAUUGGGCAAUGGGCGCAAGCCUGACCCAGCAACGCCGCGUGAAGGAAGAAGGCUUUCGGGUUGUAAACUUCUUUUCUCAGGGACGAAGCAAGUGACGGUACCUGAGGAAUAAGCCACGGCUAACUACGUGCCAGCAGCCGCGGUAAUACGUAGGUGGCAAGCGUUAUCCGGAUUUACUGGGUGUAAAGGGCGUGUAGGCGGGGACGCAAGUCAGAUGUGAAAACCACGGGCUCAACCUGUGGCCUGCAUUUGAAACUGUGUUUCUUGAGUACUGGAGAGGCAGACGGAAUUCCUAGUGUAGCGGUGAAAUGCGUAGAUAUUCGGAGGAACACCGGUGGCGAAGGCGGCCAACUGGGCUUUAACUGACGCUGAGGCUCGAAAGUGUGGGGAGCAAACAGGAUUAGAUACCCCUGUAGUC